rnacentral:rRNA from 1 species
UACGGAGGGGGCUAGCGUUGUUCGGAAUUACUGGGCGUAAAGCGCACGUAGGCGGCUUUGUAAGUUAGAGGUGAAAGCCCAGGGCUUAACCCUGGAAUUGCCUUUAAGACUGCAUCGCUAGAAUUGUGGAGAGGUAAGUGGAAUUCCGAGUGUAGAGGUGAAAUUCGUAGAUAUUCGGAAGAACACCAGUGGCGAAGGCGGGUCUCUGGGCUGUAACUGACGCUGAGGAGCGAAAGCGUGGGUAGCGAACAGG